UAUAUUCGAUUUUGAAGGAUCUGACAUUAUCCAGAUCUGACAAUUCAGUCCCCCACCCUGGCUAGCAGUGGUAUCGUCCUUUGUGAAACUCAAGCACGUGACCACAAAUAAAAAACUGCAAACAAGCUGCAUUCCAUAAUUUCACGCCCUUUUUGAUCUCUGUGUUCAAGCGAUAUUUCCUCAUCAAAGCAUUUCUGGUGGAAUAAGAACACUGCUGCCAUACACGAUGCAGACGACUGUGUGUUAUCUGUUUGUCAUCUGUGCCGCCUUUGGGUGGUGUGCGGCUCUAGACUGCUAUUCUUGCUUAUUGGCAUCCGGGUGUGGAGACCCGUUUGACCCAGCCAGCGCCACAACCAAGACAUGUUCUAAUGGGAGUGUCUGCUCGGCCAAAGUAUACGUUCUGGCGGGAACAACCUGUACAGCCGCGAUUGCGUGGAAGCCGAUAGUUGUUCGCCAGGUUGCCUAGCUACUGCUGAAGGGAUGAUAUGCAGUUACUGCUGUGACGAUGAGGACCUUUGCAACCGCAAAGCCAUCGCAGACGAAAUUGCCAGCAUCCUCCACUGCUAUUUUUGUGCAUACAGUUCGGACCCCUCAUCUGCGAACGUAAGCUCUCCAGGGUGCAACGAUCCUUUCGACCCGACUGAUACCAGGGUGCUUCAGCUGCCUUGCCCUGACGGAAAGUGCGGGGUUAUAAACACCACAUUUGGUGGACACACUGCCAUAAACAGGCUCUGCUUCCCCAACGCCCAGGGGGGAUGCACCCCCGGCUGUGACGACGCCUCUAUCAACUGCAACACCUGCUGCUCUACCAACCUGUGUAACGGAGGGAGCGAGGGUGGCGUGGCGACCACACCUAGUGCAGCGCCGUCUCUAGAGCACUUCUCCCUCUUGCGUAUAGUGCUGAUCGGGGCUGGUCUGUGCAUGGUUGUCCUGCUUUAGAUAUGACCUGUGGCACAUUUUUACGACCGGUGUAUGCAAAGGCGUUUAUCUACACAGAAUACCUUUAAUAAAGGACUUAGUGUACCGGUACAGGAAACCUAUUCAAGGCGACAUACUUUAAAGCUCUGUAGAAAAGGUUGAAGCUUUUAGGACUCAUGGAGCUCACAUACACAGAAUAAUGGCUUAUUCAUCUCUCAUUAUAAAUUGCUACAAUGCUUCGCUUUGCCUCUAGUUUACAUUUCGGUGGUAUUUAAUGACCAGCAAUGAAGUUUGGACACCUUUAGAACCGAGACAACUUCUAACAGUUGCUGUGAUUAUCGAAGCUGAUAUAUAUUCUACGUCAAAGAAUUUUGGCUUUAUGUUAGAGGAGCUAUUUUAGAAGCAAAAAUCUUUGUAAUAAUCCGGAUAGAAGUCAUCGUGGAACAUGAAAUUAAGUGGAAUCCACAGAUUACAAGCUUUUAAAACAAUUAUUACUUUAUUAAGUUUUCGUUUUGUAUUGCUACAAUGCUUUUGUCUCUUCUUGACAUUGUGAAUAAUUGACAAGAGUCAUUCAUUUAAUGACCAGCGACGAAGUUAGGACACUUGGAAACCAAGGAAACUUCCAUUGCUGUGAUUACUUUAGUUUAGGUGAAACAUAUUUACCCUAAUAGAAUUUUGGCUUUAUUUAUAGAUUUCAGGAGCACAGGAUCUCGUAACAAUGAGGAUGGAAUGUAUCGUGAAACUUGAGAAUUAAAUUAAGUGGAACACAUAGGAAGAAUUAUUACAACUGAGCCAUGCAGCCACCAAGACUUCUAAAGACGCAUGAAACCAUUGCAAGGGCGAAUCCAUUUUUUUCGGGGAGGGGGGGGAAAUUGCUAGGUUACUGGUUAGAUCUGACUUGCACAUAAAAUAUUCUUAAAUGAAGAGAAUCUUAAACAGAUUAUUCUUAUCACUCAGAAAUUCUUUCAGACGCUCAGUCAGUAAUGAUAUAGUAUCGACUAUUGAUUCAUUAUGCGUGGGUUACUACAUUUAAAUGUGAUCAGCGCCAAUGUGGUAAUGCUGGAUUGUUCUGUGACAGGAGCAAAUGUUCUUUAACCAGUGAACAAAAUGACUAAUCUCGUUUAAUUAAAGUGGCAUAUGUGAAGCCUCUUCAUUCUAAUGCUA
rnacentral:lncRNA from 1 species